CCUACUGAUGGUUGUAGACCUUCCUGCCGCAAACAUCACAUGUGCAAUGUGCAUGUUUGCGGCUGGAACAAGUGAUGUUCGCGGCAGGGAGGUUCACAACCAUCAGUAG
rnacentral:pre_miRNA from 1 species